rnacentral:sRNA from 1 species
CACACGGCCCUGUAGAAAGCGGGUGAUCU